rnacentral:sRNA from 1 species
CUCAGCCUCCCAAGUAGCUGGGAUUACAGGCAUGCACCACUACGCCCAGAUACGAGUGGUGAAACCAGAACAAUAUCUCACUUUCAUUAUACUACCUGGCCAGAUUUUGGAGUCCCUGAAUCACCAGCUUCAUUUCUCAAUUUCUUGUUUAAAGUGAGAGAAUCUGGCUCCUUGAACCCUGACCAUGGGCCUGCGGUGAUCCACUGUAGUGCAGGCAUUGGGCGCUCCGGCACCUUCUCUCUGGUAGACACUUGUCUUGUUUUGAUGGAAAAAGGAGAUGAUAUUAACAUUAAACAGGUGUUACUGAACAUGAGAAAAUACCGAAUGGGUCUUAUUCAGACCCCAGAUCAACUGAGAUUCUCAUACAUGGCUAUAAUAGAAGGAGCAAAAUGUAUAAAGGGAGAUUCUAGUAUACAGGUAAAC